rnacentral:rRNA from 1 species
UACGGAGGGGGCCAGCGUUGUUCGGAAUUACUGGGCGUAAAGCGCACGUAGGCGGCUUUGUAAGUUAGAGGUGAAAGCCCAGGGCUCAACCCUGGAAUUGCCUUUAAGACUGCAUCGCUUGAACAUCGGAGAGGUAAGUGGAAUUCCGAGUGUAGAGGUGAAAUUCGUAGAUAUUCGGAAGAACACCAGUGGCGAAGGCGACUUACUGGACGAUUGUUGACGCUGAGGUGCGAAAGCGUGGGGAGCAAACAGG